GUCGUCUGCUUUCGUCAUUGUGUAAACUGAUAAACUCUGGUCGCGCCUUUUUAUAGAAUCUCUUAAUACAGACACUCUGUACUAGCAGAAAGGAACAGACCAGUGCCAGUGCCAGCCAUCAGAACCACAAGAUAAGCAAUGUUUGCUGAUGCUUGUGUUGGUGACCUGUCAUUUCACCAACAAUCUCAGUCUCAUAUCGCUUGGAUAAGCAGCAUUCCAUGUCAUUGGAGAAUUCCCUUUCUUUUAAUGUCGUCUGUCCUCGUGCACGUCCAUGUGAAUGUGGGUGUAUUCACAAGGACACCUUUUUCCCUAUUCCGCCUGCUGGAUUCAACUUUUCAGUGGAUGAAAGCACUUGUGGAUGUCUGGCUGUAUUUCCCAGGCUUAAAGGGGAGACUCUGCUGCUGCUGGAUGGCGGCCAAAAUAGCGGGCAGAAAAGGGAGGAGGAAAGGCCGUAAAAUAUAGCCGGAAAACAUCGUUUAUAUGGAAGAAGAAGAAGAAGCUAAGAAGAGACUCGACAAUAUAUAUUUUUUCAUCCCGAAAAAAUUCCGGUGUCCGACAUCAGUUUUCGUGUGCACAGUCCGAUAUUCUCUCCUUCUCUCUUCGUCGUCGUCGUCUUUCUCCUUAAGUGGAGUGAUAUUAUUAUACUUCAAGGCGCCGCCAAAUAUAAAAAAAAAGAAGAAUUGGAUAGUCCAACAAACAACAA